UAAUACAUUUUAACACAGCUAAUCAUCUUUAUGUUAUACAGUUGGCUGGGGAACAGACCAGGGAAUUGGUGGAUUCGGAGAAGAGCCAGGAAUUAAAUCUCAACUAAUGAACCUGAUUCGAUCUGUAAGAACCGUGAUGAGAGUGCCAUUGAUAAUAGUAAACUCAAUUGCAAUUGUAUUACUUUUACUAUUUGGGUGAAGAUCCACAGAGGAAAUGGAGACUCAUCAGAGGAAGAGCUGCCAGCAGAAGUUACUACUUCAGUCUUUGUUGGAAUAUACAUAUCUUAGCUGGCUCUCCUUGGACUUGACAAAGUGUAAACCUGAGAGUAAAACCAGAGUCCCUAUUUAUCUGAUUUUUUAAAAUAUUGCACUUAUGGUUUCAUUACAAAAAGGUCAGAUCAUCAGAGGCAGUAACUAUGCAGGAUUGGAAUACAUUUGAUUGCUAACUUUUAAUAAAAGUUCACGCUAUGGUAAAGAUUGUUUAAUGGGUACAGGACUGUCACUUAUGUGUUAUUGGAGAUUUUUCUCUUUCACUUCUCAGGGAUGAAUUUUUUUUUUCAAAGUUUUGAAGUUCCUUGUGACUUAGUUAUGAUGUGAGAAUGAUUAUCCUUCUAGACAAAAUUUAAACAUUUUUUUAAAAAGUUAUUACUACAUAUAAAGUGAUUUUAUUUUGAGCUCUUUGGUUAAAUAUUUUGUCUGUAUACUGUCUCAUAUGAAAAAAUCAAAUUUUUGCUAACUAUUGAGGAGUAAUACUCUCUGAUUUCAGGGAGAAUUCUAAUUUUGUAAGUCAGAUAGUCACACGGAUGAUUGUGUUUUUAAGUUUGUUCAUGCAUUUGUUAUUUUAUUAAUUGGCCUGAAUGAUGAGACCAGAAUAGUAUCUACAUAUGUCCAUUGGUAAAGAUAUCUGUGUAGAAAAGUCUAUGCCCUUUUAAACAAUGAUGGGUUAUUUUUUACAAUCAGCAUAAAAGCCUACAGGAGCAGUCCUAAAUAAUCACCCUUAAGCUGUACUGUAUAAGAAGACUUUAUCGUGAAGCAUUUACCUCCCCAAAUCAUCACAUUUCUGUUUCUUGAAGUAGCACAUUAAGGGACGUGAUUUGUAAUUCUUCAUUCUGUCAGUCAAUAGAGCAUUCGUGGCGGAUAAAUUGGUUAUUAUUUUGUUUUUAUGUCUUUGACCAUCCCAUAUUUUCUUAUCCCAUAAUUCUGCUUUGUGCAGAAAGAUUAAAACUAUAUAAAUGGUUUUUUCUGGAAAUUAUCAGUUAUAAUAUUUUAAAGGGGGGUGGAAUGGCAUCUUUGUUUAUAGGAGAACACUUGUAAAUAAAGUUAAAUUUCCAAGU
rnacentral:lncRNA from 1 species